CAAGUCGAACGGGACUUUUUCUGGUAGCAAUACCGGGAAAAGUCUAGUGGCGAACGGGUGCGUAACACGUGGACAAUCUGCCUUAAAGUGGGGGAUAGCUCGGCGAAAGCCGAAUUAAUACCGCAUGUGAUGAGGGAAGACAUCUUUCCGAAAUCAAAGCCGGGGCAACCUGGCGCUUUUUGAGGAGUCCGCGGCCUAUCAGCUUGUUGGUGAGGUAACGGCUCACCAAGGCUAUGACGGGUAGCUGGUCUGAGAGGACGACCAGUCACACUGGAACUGAGACACGGUCCAGACACCUACGGGUGGCAGCAGUCGAGAAUUUUUCUCAAUGGGGGAAACCCUGAAGGAGCGACGCCGCGUGGAGGAUGAAGGUCUUCGGGUUGUAAACUCCUGUCAUUUGAGAACAAGGUGCACAUGCUAACUGCAUGUGCAUUGAUAGUAUCAGAAGAGGAAGGGACGGCUAACUCUGUGCCAGCAGCCGCGGUAAUACAGAGGUCCCAAGCGUUGUUCGGAUUCAUUGGGCGUAAAGGGUGUGUAGGUGGCGCCGUAAGUCGGGUGUGAAAUCUCGGGGCUUAACUCCGAAACUGCAUUCGAUACUGCGGUGCUUGAGGACUGGAGAGGAGACUGGAAUUCAUGGUGUAGCAGUGAAAUGCGUAGAGAUCAUGAGGAAGACCAGUGGCGAAGGCGGGUCUCUGGACAGUUCCUGACACUGAGACACGAAGGCCAGGGGAGCAAACGGGAUUAGAUACCCCGGUAGUCCUGGCAGUAAACGGUGCACGUUUGGUGUGGGAGGAUUCGACCCCUUCUGCGCCGGAGCUAACGCGUUAAACGUGCCGCCUGGGGA
rnacentral:rRNA from 1 species